rnacentral:rRNA from 1 species
CUGAGAUGAGUCUUCCCUGGCACUUUAAGUGUCCUAAAGGGUUGUUCGAGACUAGAACGUUGAUAGGUUGGGUGUGUAAGCGCUGCGAGGCGUUGAGCUAACCAAUACUAAUUGCCCGUGAGGCUUAACCAUACAACACCGAAGGGGUUUUGU